GUGCCUACUGAGCUGACAUCAGU
rnacentral:miRNA from 1 species